AAUGAUAGAGGCGCGGCGUUCAUCAGUACCUUCCAUCCCCGGCAGGAAGACCGGGAAGGGAAAGGGGUCGCCGCCGAAGGGUCCAGCCGGGUGCCUGCCCGCCGGACGCCUGGGCCGUCAGAGAAGAUCUGCCGGACUGCCAUUUCCCGCAAAUGGAGCGCUAUCA
rnacentral:ncRNA from 1 species